UUGAGUGGCGGACGGGUGAGUAACGCGUGGGUAACCUGCCCUGUACAGGGGGAUAACAGUCAGAAAUAGCUGCUAAUACCGCAUAAGCGCACAGUACCGCAUGGUACCGUGUGAAAAACUCCGGUGGUAUGAGAUGGACCCGCGUCUGAUUAGCUAGUUGGUGGGGUAACGGCCUACCAAGGCGACGAUCAGUAGCCGACCUGAGAGGGUGACCGGCCACAUUGGGACUGAGACACGGCCCAAACUCCUACGGGAGGCAGCAUG
rnacentral:rRNA from 1 species